rnacentral:tRNA from 1 species
UCCCCCUUAGCUCAGCUGGUUAGAGCGGUUGACUGUUAAUCAAUAGGUCCAAGGUUCGAGUCCUUGAGGGGGAGC